CACUUCAGCAAUAUAGCAAAGCCGGCCGUCCGGCACCAUUUAGUAAUACAUUUCUUGAACUUUAUAUUUGAAAAUAAGAAAAUAUUUAAUGCUUUAAAUCCGAAUGCAAUAUAAACAGUCUUUCAUUACAGUUUAUAUUUACCGCCUAAUUAAACAAAUGUAAUUUUGCAUCAAAAACACAGAAAGUCCGAGGUUGUUGUGCAGAAUUUAAUUAAAUAAAAAGCGC